GACGAACGCUGGCGGCGUGCUUAACACAUGCCAGUCGAACGGAAAGGCCCUGCUUUUGUUGGGUGCUCGAGUGGCGAACGGGUGAGUAACACGUGAGUAACCUGCCCUUGACUUUGGGAUAACUUCAGGAAACUGGGGCUAAUACCGGAUAGGAGCUCCUGCUUCAUGGUGGUGGUUGGAAAGUUUCGGCGGUUGGGGCUGGACUCGCGGCUUAUCAGCGUGUUGGUGGGGUAGUGGCUUACCAAGGCUUUGACGGGUAGCCGGCCUGAGAGGGUGACCGGCCACAUUGGGACUGAGAUACGGCCCAGACUCCUACGGGAGGCAGCAGUGGGGAAUAGUGCAAAAUGGGCGGAAGCCUGAUGCAGCAACGCCGCGUGCGGGAUGACGGCCUUCGGGUUGUAAACCGCUUUCGCCUGUGACGAAGCGUGAGUGACGGUAAUGGGUAAAGAAGCACCGGCUAACUACGUG
rnacentral:rRNA from 1 species